UACAGAGGGUGCAAGCGUUAAUCGGAAUUACUGGGCGUAAAGGCGCGUAGGCGGGAUGGCAAGUCGGUCGUGAAAUCCUUCGGCUCAACCGAAGAACGUCGAUCGAUACUGCUGUCUUGAGGUUGCAGAGGAGACUGGAAUUCCCGGUGUAGCGGUGAAAUGCGUAGAUAUCGAGAGGAACACCUGCGGCGAAGGCGGGUGCUGGGCUGACACUGACGCUGAUGCGCGAAGCCAGGGAGCGAACGGG
rnacentral:rRNA from 1 species